GGGGGGGGAGUGGGUGCGUAUACUCGUAUACUCCUACAUAGGAAAAGAUGCAUUAUUGUAAUCGAGUGUUUUAGAGAUUUCAAAAAUUGUUACUACAAUAUGCGUCGCUCCUUUUUAAGACACUUGCGCUUCAAUUAACGCAAAAGUCUCAGAACACGCUUACAAAAUCUAGAAACAUUAAUACUCUUGUCAGCAGCCUCGUACGGCCCAAAAUCGCAAAACAAUCUCUCUUCAGCACUGAAAAUAUACGUAUAGUCUUCGAAAUAAGUGCGAGACGUCGCCAAGUUAAAAGUCGAGACGAUACGAACAAAUUGUCCGAACGCGACCACAAAAACCUUACACUCCGUUCGUCGAUUGGCCCCGACGAACACAUUAGCCGUCUUAAACAAACGCAACUUGAUCACUCUUUUGAUCUCCGAACGUCCAACACAACGAUGAAAGCGCGCUACAAAAAAAAAUCCGAAAUUUUGGUCUAGCACUUCCAGUUGGCUUAAAAAUUGUCUCUGGAAAGAUGCUCGAUUCAUGCCAUACAAGUCAUAUAAGCCGAGAACCUAUCGCGGACUUUAAAUUGGUACGAAUCAGGUAGAAAUCGCAAAAAGAAAAUCGAAAGCCGGCUAGUCACCGCACAAACCUUAAAACCGAGAGUAAACCUAGGUCUUGCCCUAAACCCAUCGCAUUGGUCUCAGACAUCUCAAGACAUGAUAUCUAAACGAUACGAGAUCCUAAAACAUGUCUCUCCGUUCAUAUCUUGACGUUUCCGAAAGUCCGUAAGAAUAAAUAAUUUUUACGAAAAAACUCACGAACAAACUAACAGAUUGAACGCCUCAACGAAGUUAAAUAUGAGAAGACAACUCAUGUUUACUUCAAACCCACUCGAAACAAAGUAACUCAAACAAACAUCCAUUAUAUAGAUCGCAUAGCGGUAGGGGUUCAAAGCCACCAACGGCCAGUCCCGAUAAAAAUAAAAACGGCCAAAAAAGGCCCAUACAAAGUUCGAAGGCCACACUCGGUCGGACAUAUAUGAACAAAGGCCACACUUGGCCGCAAAAUACUAGAUAAGGGAAAAAAAUUUUCCCGUCAAACACUCACAGAUCAAAGUUAAAAUUCUCGGACAACGAAGCUCCGAAUGCAUCCGCAGGAUAGUUCACUUCCUCAUCGUCACCGGCAAAAUCAGUCGUGGUUUCUACGGUAUCAGGAGAAACCGGGAUGGGAUCCCAGAAUCUUCCCAUCGAUCGUAGAAAUGAGCGUCUCAGCGUGAGCAUGAUCCUUCAUGCCACCCUUCAUUAACUCCAUCUCCCUCUCAAAAACGUAGUCAUCCGCCCGCGUCUUCCAAAGGCUCCCGACUGAGCCGCGACACUCACGGAAGUCGCCCGGCGAGUUGAAAGCAUACUUGAGGUUCCCCUACUCAACCUGGAAUUGAGAGGCGCGAGUCUUCAUCACCUCGACAAUUUCCCUCUUGCCCUUCCGUUCCGCCCUACGAUCAGCCCUGGCAUGAUCACGAGCGAGUUGAGCAUCUCGCGCCACCAUCUCGUCUUGCAUGCGAGCAAGAUCCUUUUCCGCCUUCUCCGCUUUAAAGCGAUAGAUCAUGGCCUCUCUAUGGCUCGCCUCAAUGGCCGAUCCAAGCAAGUUCAAGCCCUGUAAAACCGAUUGACACGUUAUAAGGAAAAAAAAAAGUAAUAAUAAUAAUCGUCAAAAUUAUUAAAGCUUAUACCCCGUUGAUGAUACGAGAUCCUUCCGCGACGACUUUCGGCCUCCCCGACUCGUUCGUAGCCGGAGGAGCAUGAAGCCCGACGGAAGACCAACGAAGAAAUAAUCAAAGUCCAGAAUAGGGACCUCGCUCGUAUCGCUUCCAUCGCCGAAAGCAAGGUCCGGAUCCCAUCCUGGAAGCAUGCAAUCGUCCACCGAAAACUCCAGGUCAAAGAGGUCAAUAUCUUUCCCCUUCGAAAAAUUCAGCCCCGUCGCAAUCGUGGGAGCAGCGUCGGGACCUUGGUCAUCAGGCUCGGAAUCACUCCUUGUUUCUCCGCCCAAAGCUGGACUAGGAUGCACAAACCUCAGCGCCUUUCGAACUGUCUUCGGCGUAAAGGAAGUCCAGAAAAAAGGACUGUUCCUGAGCAGAUCCCUCACCGCAAUAAUGUCCUCAGGAAACGGAGCAAGAGGAUUGAUGAAGGGACGAUCGUUCGGCAACCUCCAGAACAAUGGGAUACAACUCUCCUCAACGGACGCGGCGUCUACACGAACGAAGAAGAAAAACUUCUUCCACGAGUUGAAGUUAGAAGUACACCCCUUAACCACCGACAUGAAGUUCCAAGGAACCAGCCUGUACGUGACCGUAUCCUUGAUGAUCUGUAACCGAAGAAGCGCUUCGAAGUGAUCGACGGUAAGGGUGAGACCAUGCUCGUAGCUCAGGAUCAGGACUCUAAUGAGGUGCUGGAUGCCAAGAGGAUUCAGUUGGCUUAUCGCCACCCCGAAACGAUCCAACACACAGACGAUAAUUUCGGGAAUCGGGAACCACAAACGACAGCGCACUACGAAUGCUUCGUAACAAGUAAAGUAACCCUCCGGGGGACUACUAGCACACUCUCCUUGACGAGGAACCCUGAACUCCACCGCAUCCGAAAUAUGGUAGAACGACCGCAUGACCUCGAGGAAUUCGCUAGUACUCCUACUUGGUGCACCUUCCUCCACCGGGCGACGGUUCAUGACCGGGAAUGAUUUCUCUUUGGGAGGCGUGAUCGAACCAUAAAAAGCCACCCACCAUGCCUCGUUCUCGGCCGGGUCUACCGAAUGAGGAACGAAUUCCAUCUUUGGCACACAGAGCUCUUCAGAAACGUUCGCGGGCAAGGACCCUUUCUUCGAACUCCUCUUCUUACUCGACAUCUCGUGUUUUUCUUUUUUUUUAUCAAGAAGGAAAUGAUAGAGAGAAAGAGAAAGAAAAAAGAAUUUUUCAAGAAACCUCUCUAUGAGAAUGAGUAAGUGUAAAGAUUGUGAAGAAAUUACCUCCCUUCUUAUAGGCAUGAGAAAUUAUUAUUUACUUGCGGAUUUUUGGACACGUACUUCGCCCAAAUACACCAAUCUCGUCCGAACUCGCCAUACCGCACGUUGGGAUCUCACUAGAAAUCCACGAUCCUAACGAGCUGGGGGGGCUAACUGUUGGGGUCGAAAACGGAUGCGACGAAUUUAACGUCCAAAUCCCCGCAAAAUACAAGUAUGUCUUUUCGCAACAAAUCAUGUUCGGUCAAGAGAACGUCACAACGUAUGUUCUCGAGAUAAAGCUUCGUUCGAAUUUUAUUUAGAUCAAGCAUAAGCCAUCGGAAACAUGCCCAUACCGGUAAUGGAUACGACGAAGUUCACGAUCAAAACGUCCGAAGAAGAAAACGAAAAACCUUCUUCGACAAAUACUUUUUCGAGAUAGAUUCUUCCUUACGAAAAGCUUUGCGGAGGAAACACAAGACAUCGGACAAGAGCUCGAAAAGGGUCGCUACGCAGCUAAAUCUAAACUUAAAACAUCAAUUCUAAACCCUAAAUCAUCAACUCUAAACCCCAAACCAUGAAACACGAAUCUAAAUCCUAAACCCCGAAACAUCAACUCUAAACCCUAAACCCUAAACCUUCAAAUCUAAACCAUAAAACGUCAACUCUAAACACUAAACGUAAACCCUAAACCCUAAAACCCUUAACCUUCAAAUCUAAACCCUAAAACAUCAACUCUAAACCCUAAAUGUAAACCCUAAACCCUAAAACCUUAAACCUUCAAAUCUAAACCCUAAAACAUCAACUCUAGGGUUUUAGGGUUUAUGAUUUAGGGUUUAGAGUUGAAGGUUUAGGGUUUAGGGUUUAGAGUUUAUGUUUCGGGGUUUAGGGUUAAUUUUUUAGGGUUUAGGGUUUAGUGUUGAUAGUUUAGGGUUUAGUGUUGAUGGUUUAGGGUUUAGAGUUGAAGUUUAGGGUUUUGAGUUUAGAGUUGAUGUUUUAGGGUUUAGAGUUGAAGGUUUAGGAUUUAGGGUUUAGAGUUGAUGUUUCGGGGUUUAGGGUUUAGAGUUGAUGUUUCAUGGUUUAGGGUUCGCAUUUCAAAAAAAAAAGGGUUUAGGAUUGAUGGUUUAGGGUUUAGGGUUCGUAUUUCAAAAAAAAAAAGGUUUUGGAUUGAUGGUUUAGGGUUUAGAGUUGAGUUUUAGGGUUUAGGGUUUGAAUUUCGAAAUUGUAUAAUUCGUAAACAAAUUAAAAAAAAAUUAUUUUUUAUUUAUUUAGAUAUUUAUUUAUUAUAUCAACUCUAAUAAUCGAUACGACAUUAGUCCAUGCAUUCUCGUCUACCCUUCGAUGCUAUCUCCCGAAGACCGUAGCGAACCCAUUUCACGUUCCCCGCCAUUCUAAGUUAUCGAUCAAACUUUACCGUAAAAACCGCGGAAAGUUCGUUCUUUAUCGAAAGAAGCCGUAAUAAACGCUUCGAGUCAGAAGACGGCCCAAAGGGACCUAAGACAUGACUCGAGGCUCAACUUACGAUUUCUUAACCAACAGCCCGUAAGCCGCAUGUCGGUUUACGCUUGGUUCGCAAGGAAAGAUAAAAGUCAAGUUUCCGUGGAUAAAUACGAAAUUUGAAGAUAAUUACGAAGAUCUUAAAAAAUGGAAUAUCUCCAUUUUUAUGCUAUGGCGGCUUUAGGGCAGAAGAGGAAAAGCGUAAACCGACCUAGGAGCCAGUAUAUAAGGAAUCCUAGGCGAGAGGCAUGGAGGAGGACUUUUCUCAGAGCAAACUUAGCACUUAGAGCAAUUAGGCAUAUUUUCGUUUUUGUUAUUCGAGCUGCGACUCAACUAGGUUGCCGUCUUAGGGUUUUAGAACUAGGAAUUUCGCUGACAGCUCUCGUAGCCCAGACUCUUACCUUGUUGUAACGCUCAAACGCGAAUUCGGAAUAAGAUCUACUUUGCUCUCUUUUCGAUUUCAUAUCAUUUAUCGUUGUUAUUCUAGUGUUCUGAUUGUUUAUCUCUUCCAAUUGUCACUUUAUUUUUUGUUAUUCUAUAAUAUAGUGUUCUUAAAAACAUAUUUUAUCUUGGAGAGCUUUAUACAACAUAUAUUUGGCACUCUAUUUUCAUUACAUAAUAUUUCAAUAUUUUAUUCACCUAUCCUUUUCUAUCUGUUCUUAAUUUAAUUUUUUUUUUUAAAGUUAGACUAUGGAGGAAGCUCACUUUUUAAUUUUCUUAGAUCAACAUUCUCUAUAGGAAAUUUCUAAAUAAAUGUUUUAGAAUAAUUGUUUGAAUAUGAAUUACUUACAUAGGGUUGAGAUUGGAAGGCAUCCAUUAAUUUAAACAGUUACAUUGGAUGACUUCAAGAGAUGUAGUAAUCAAAUGGUGGAGACGAGACUGUGUGACGAAAUGAAACAGAGCCUCCCCGGUCACCGCCAUGGUUGUGGAGCCGAUUCAAAUUCAUCAAUCAUGUAAGCUCAUUCAGAAAAAAGUUUCGAGUUUUUUUUAUAUGGGUUUUAGUUUUUUUUUAAGAAACCUUGUCCACAAUACCUUGAAGAGACAUUUCACUUGAUUAACAACUUAACGAAGAUGAAGAUAUGAUUUUAUGGCUUACUAUUAAUACAUCUUAUACACAGAUGGAGAUUGAGGAAUCUCAGUUUUGAUUGUUUCAUUUGUUGUUUUGAAGAAGAGAGUAGAAAGCAUUGGGAAGACAAUUUUGCUCCCUUGACUGUGAAGAAAAGAAGGAGAAAACGAUUACCUAUAGUUCCAUCAGAAGAUCCUGAUCAGAGGCUUGCACAAAUAGGCACACAUGCAUCUUCUUUAAUAGCUUUGGGUAUCAAAUACAGUGACGACUUAACUUAGGUACAUGUCCAUUGCAAAAGCAUGUCCACAAUUUUAGGUUUUCUGUCCAUCUAUUCUCUAUUUUCUAUGUCCAUGUCCACACAAUUUUUUUUUACAAAAUC
rnacentral:lncRNA from 1 species